rnacentral:rRNA from 1 species
GAUGAACGCUGGCGGCGUGCCUAAUACAUGCAAGUCGAGCGAACAGACGAGGAGCUUGCUCCUCUGACGUUAGCGGCGGACGGGUGAGUAACACGUGGAUAACCUACCUAUAAGACUGGGAUAACUUCGGGAAACCGGAGCUAAUACCGGAUAAUAUAUUGACCCGCAUGGUUCAAUAGUUAAAGACGGUUUUGCUGUCACUUAUAGAUGGAUCCGCGCCGCAUUAGCUAGUUGGUAAGGUAACGGCUUACCAAGGCAACGAUGCGUAGCCGACCUGAGAGGGUGAUCCGCCACACGGGAACUGAGACACGGUCCAGACUCCUACGGGAGGCAGCAGUAGGGAAUCUUCCGCAAUGGGCGAAAGCCGGACGGAGCAACGCCGCGUGAGUGAUGAAGGUCUUCGGAUCGUAAAACUCUGUUAUUAGGGAAGAACAAAUGUGUAAGUAACUAUGCACGUCUUGACGGUACCUAAUCAGAAAGCCACGGCUAACUACGUG